rnacentral:lncRNA from 1 species
UUCAACCUUGAGUGAUCACAGUUUUUGAGAAUCAUGAUGAGGCAUUAAAGAAGAGGAGGAGUGUCUCAAGGGAGGUGAGCUGGAGGUGAUGCAAGCCUCAGACUCAGGGCUGGGACCCUUGGGACUCAAAAGAGAGAAAAGGUGGAGAAAAGAGAAAGCUACUAUUUUCUUCAUUUUGCCCCUGCUAACAUCCAAUGCACUUAGGAGCCUCGAUGUCUGCUCUCCAAGAGAUGUCUGAUCUGAAAGCAUGUUGUGGUCCGCUACACACAAGAGCAAAAGAAGAGCAGGAAGGAGCUCAGUGCCAAGACCAUAGCCACAGGAAGAAAACCAGCUCUUAGGGCUGCAGCUCUAAAGACAGGCCAGGUCAUUACAGGAACGUCUGCUCCCUUAGCCUUGCCAGACAGAGGAGGGUUAAGAAAGGAACUGCUGACCCUGAUAUGCAAACUGCCACGAGUGCUUCCUGCCUUUCUAUCAGCAUCAGAUGGCUAGCGAUGGAUGGCUGUAAGAUUGAUGUAAUUAACAUUUUAUUUUCAGGGCCACAGUGCUGGUUGGGUGCACCAGACAAAUCAACCAACAGAUUAAAGAGUGAUGGAGAAA